AUUGAACGCUGGCAGCAUGCCUUACACAUGCAAGUCGAACGGCAGCACGGGAGCAAUCCUGGUGGCGAGUGGCGAACGGGUGAGUAAUAUAUCGGAACGUGCCCAGUCGUGGGGGAUAACGCAGCGAAAGCUGUGCUUAUACCGCACACGAUCUAAGGAUAAACGCGGGGGAGCGCAAGACCUCGCGCGAUGGGAGCGGCCGAUGUCAGAUUAGAUAGUUGGUGGGGUAAAGGCCCACCAAGGCGACGAUCUGUAGCUGGUCUGAGAGGACGACCAGCCACACUGGAACUGAGACACGGUCCAGACUCCUACGGGAGGCAGCAGUGGGGAAUUUUGGACAAUGGGCGCAAGCCUGAUCCAGCAAUGCCGCGUGCAGGAUGAAGGCCUUCGGGUUGUAAACUGCUUUUGUACGGAACGAAACAGCCCUUUCUAAUACAGGGGGCUAAUGACGGUACCGUAAGAAUAAGCACCGGCUAACUUCGUGCCAGCCGCCGCAGUAACAC
rnacentral:rRNA from 1 species